CGUCCCAAUUUCAGGACAUUUGUUAUAGUAGUCAUUUGAACGAAAAGUGAAGAAGCUACUGACUGUAGGAAUUUCCUACUUGUGACCGACCCUACAAGUCUAGUCUCUUUUUUUGUCGACAGCCUUGAAUACAGGCCUCUAUCACCAACCUAUUCAGCUUGUCCUAUGUGGACCCGGUCAUGCCAGAUUCUGUGAAGAAAGUGUACGUUGGAAACGUGCCUGAAAAUGCUAGAAGAAGUGACCUGCAGGAGCACUUCUCGAAAUUUGGUGCCAUCUCCGAAUGUGAUAUAGUCCGAGAUUAUGCAUUCAUUCAUUUUGAGAAUGGGGAUGAUGCCCGGGAAGCGGUCCAAGAACUUGAUGGUACUGAGUGGCGUGAUAAAAGGCUGAACGUUCAGCUAUCACAUUCUAAGGGUCAUGGCUAUAGUGUUGGUGGUGGUGGCGGCGGCGGCGGAAGUCGAUAUCCACCAAGACGGUCUCCACCUCCGCGCAGGCGUUCACCACCUCCGUAUUACCGAGGCCGAUCUCCACCCCGAGGCCGAUCUCCACCCCGUGGCCGGUCACCACCGCGAUACCGAGACUAUGGUCCGCCAUCAUACAGCAGCCGCUACGACCGGCGUUCGCCUCCACCACCACCGUCGCGUGAUUAUUACAGGGGACCACCACCACCACCUCCACGUUAUCGCAGCCGUAGUCCGUAUGGUGGCCGCUAUCCCCCACCACCUCCUCGCUAUUCUUCACCACCAAGGGGCUAUGACCGGUAUGGACCACCUCGUUAACCAUCUAACUCGCUUUGAUCUAAUGAUGGCAGCCAAGUGAGCUGCGAAGCAGCAUCCCUAGCCUCAUCAGCAGUGAUGGUUUCAAGGCUGUAUGCUGACAGUUGUUUCUACCACAGCCACCAAGUGACGAUCAAGAAAUGUUCAUUCCAUUGCACUGCUACUGAGUGAUGCCUGCUGACCCCGUUAGGUACUAUCAAAGCAGAUAGUCGUCUCGUGAUAAGCAACCGAAAAUCACCGGCUCUUUCUUUCCUUUGGCCUCCUGUCCAGUAUGCUGUCAAUAUGUGUCAUUAAAGUUUCUUUCUUUAGAAGUUCUGUGCUCCUCUUGUAAUUGUUUUGGUCACAUACUCAAUAAUUCAUAAAAUUCAUAUACGUGCGCUCUUGUCGGUUUCCGUGUCAGACAUGUAUGAUGCGUACUGUAGCGUAGACCUGCCUGCCUUUUCCUUCAAGGUUCCUUUGCAAACAUUGCACCGUUCUUGCCCAUACAAGCGGCGUUGUUCCCCAUUGAGAAACAAGUUUGCACCUGUUUGUUUGUCUGU